rnacentral:rRNA from 1 species
UACGUAGGGUGCGAGCGUUGUCCGGAAUUACUGGGCGUAAAGAGCUCGUAGGUGGUUUGUCGCGUUGUUCGUGAAAACUCACAGCUUAACUGUGGGCGUGCGGGCGAUACGGGCAGACUGGAGUACUGCAGGGGAGACUGGAAUUCCUGGUGUAGCGGUGAAAUGCGCAGAUAUCAGGAGGAACACCGGUGGCGAAGGCGGGUCUCUGGGACGGUAGCUGACGCUGAGACGACGAAAGCGUGGGGAGCAAACAGG